rnacentral:rRNA from 1 species
GAUGAACGCUGGCGGCGUGCCUAAUACAUGCAAGUCGAGCGAACGGACGAGAAGCUUGCUUCUCUGAUGUUAGCGGCGGACGGGUGAGUAACACGUGGAUAACCUACCUAUAAGACUGGGAUAACUUCGGGAAACCGGAGCUAAUACCGGAUAAUAUUUUGAACCGCAUGGUUCAAAAGUGAAAGACGGUCUUGCUGUCACUUAUAGAUGGAUCCGCGCUGCAUUAGCUAGUUGGUAAGGUAACGGCUUACCAAGGCAACGAUGCAUAGCCGACCUGAGAGGGUGAGCGGCCACACUGGAACUGAGACACGGUCCAGACUCCUACGGGAGGCAGCAGUAGGGAAUCUUCCGCCAUGGGCGCAAGCCUGACGGAGCAACGCCGCGUGAGUGAUGAAGGUCUUCGGAUCGUAAAACUCUGUUAUUAGGGAAGAACAUAUGUGUAAGUAACUGUGCACAUCUUGACGGUACCUAAUCAGAAAGCCACGGCUAACUACGUG